rnacentral:tRNA from 1 species
GGGCGAUUGGUUUAGUGGUAUAAUGCAUCCUUAGCAUGUCUUCGACAGCGAGCUUGGAUGAGGUCCGGGGUUCGAUUCCCCGAUCGUCCA